rnacentral:tRNA from 1 species
CGGGAUGUAGUUCAGCCUGGUAGAGCGCAUGCUUUGGGAGCAUGAUGUCGUGAGUUCGAGUCUCACCAUCCCGACCA